UUAGAGAUGGAAAGUAGUUCAAUGGUGAGC
rnacentral:piRNA from 1 species